UUUGUAUUUGUGAAUAAUCUCCAAAUAUUAUAUUAUCUAAUAUAAUGAAACUUUCUAUAUUAUAUUGAACCAACAGUUCGCAUCUGGUAACAGCUCCAUUGUCUCUGGAUAAAGGCUGCAUUUCGUUGGGCGUGAACGAAGAGUCUAUUGUGGCUAGAUCGACGCGUUGCUACGUAACGAUUAUGUGUGCUCAAGCGGAGGACUAUACAAUAGCGUUGUGGAAAAGGAAGCAUUCCGCUGCCAAUCACUGUUUGCUCAAUGGGGUGAUAUAAAUCGCACGCGUAACGACGAACUGCAGAACUGCUGGACUAAUUGCUGAGACCCGGAGGAGAGUUUUUAUAUCAAUGAAAAUACGACAAUGAGCAAUCGACUGAUAGCCAUAAAAUGCACAAUCUUUAUACAUAAUCGGUAUGCGCCUACAAGCUGAUAUAAAAGAAAAAUAUACUUUUCGAAAACAUGCAUACAAAAAAGUCGCUCGCGUUUUGCUACUAGAAAUAAAGAGUUCUUGAAAAAGUCAAUAAUAUACAAUUCAUCGCAAAAAUGCUUUUUGAAUAUGUUCAUGGUCUGCAAUGUAUAUCACUUAAGAUAUGCAGCCGUUCCUAUACUGACGUGAUACAAUACAUAAGCGUAUUAUGGGAAUGCACAAUGUAUUCGCUAUUAUUCGACAUCGUGCAAAUCGAUUAAUUCAUGCAAACCAUCAUAACAAAAAUCUGUAUUUUCUAUCACUUUAGAUAAAAUGUGCUUCAAAAUU